rnacentral:rRNA from 1 species
AGCCCUGGAAACGGGGUCUAAUACCGGAUAUGACAUCCUCCCGCAUGGGAAGGGUGUGGAAAGCUCCGGCGGUGCAGGAUGAGCCCGCGGCCUAUCAGCUUGUUGGUGGGGUGAUGGCCUACCAAGGCGACGACGGGUAGCCGGCCUGAGAGGGCGACCGGCCACACUGGGACUGAGACACGGCCCAGACUCCUACGGGAGGCAGCAGUGGGGAAUAUUGCACAAUGGGCGAAAGCCUGAUGCAGCGACGCCGCGUGAGGGAUGACGGCCUUCGGGUUGUAAACCUCUUUCAGCAGGGAAGAAGCGAAAGUGACGGUACCUGCAGAAGAAGCACCGGCUAACUACGUGCCAGCAGCCGCGGUAAUACGUAGGGUGCGAGCGUUGUCCGGAAUUAUUGGGCGUAAAGAGCUCGUAGGCGGCCUGUCACGUCGGAUGUGAAAGCCCGGGGCUUAACCCCGGGUCUGCAUUCGAUACGGGCAGGCUAGAGUUCGGUAGGGGAGAUCGGAAU